rnacentral:tRNA from 1 species
UGGGCAGUAGCCUGGGCGACCGAGAACGCGGUCUUCGAGGCCGCGAUGAAAGACAGCUCGAAGUUCGAGCACUUCGUUGUCGGC